UUUGAAAAUAGAUACUAAGGUGCUUAAGU
rnacentral:piRNA from 1 species